rnacentral:rRNA from 1 species
UCAGCGACUUAUAUUCUGUAGCAAGGUUAACCGAAUAGGGGAGCCGGAGGGAAACCGAGUCUUAAUUGGGCGUUAAGUUGCAGGGUAUAGACCCGAAACCCGGUGAUCUAGCCAUGGGCAGGUUGAAGGUUGGGUAACACUAACUGGAGGACCGAACCGACUAAUGUUGAAAAAUUAGCGGAUGACCUGUGGCUGGGGGUGAAAGGCCAAUCAAACCGGGAGAUAGCUGGUUCUCCCCGAAAGCUAUUUAGGUAGCGCCUCGUGAAUUCAUCUCCGGGGGUAGAGCACUGUUUCGGCUAGGGGGCCAUCCCGGCUUACCAACCCGAUGCAAACUGCGAAUACCGGAGAAUGUUAUCACGGGAGACACACGGCGGGUGCUAACGUCCGUCGUGAAGAGGGAAACAACCCAGACCGCCAGCUAAGGUCCCAAAGUCAUGGUUAAGUGGGAAACGAUGUGGGAAGGCCCAGACAGCCAGGAUGUUGGCUUAGAAGCAGCCAUCAUUUAAAGAAAGCGUAAUAGCUCACUGGUCGAGUCGGCCUGCGCGGAAGAUGUAACGGGGCUAAACCAUGCACCGAAGCUGCGGCAGCGACGCUGAUGCGUUGUUGGGUAGGGGAGCGUUCUGUAAGCCUGCGAAGGUGGCCUGUGAGGGUUGCUGGAGGUAUCAGAAGUGCGAAUGCUGACAUAAGUAACGAUAAAGCGGGUGAAAAGCCCGCUCGCCGGAAGACCAAGGGUUCCUGUCCAACGUUAAUCGGGGCAGGGUGAGUCGACCCCUAAGGCGAGGCCGAAAGGCGUAGUCGAUGGGAAACGGGUUAAUAUUCCCGUACUUGGUGUUACUGCGAAGGGGGGACGGAGAAGGCUAUGUUGGCCGGGCGACGGUUGUCCCGGUUUAAGCGUGUAGGUGUGUGUUCCAGGUAAAUCCGGUUCACUUUAACACUGAGGCGUGAUGACGAGGCACUACGGUGCUGAAGCAACAAAUGCCCUGCUUCCAGGAAAAGCCUCUAAGCAUCAGGUAACAUCAAAUCGUACCCCAAACCGACACAGGUGGUCAGGUAGAGAAUACCAAGGCGCUUGAGAGAACUCGGGUGAAGGAACUAGGCAAAAUGGUGCCGUAACUUCGGGAGAAGGCACGCUGACACGUAGGUGAAGUGAUUUACUCAUGGAGCUGAAGUCAGUCGAAGAUACCAGCUGGCUGCAACUGUUUAUUAAAAACACAGCACUGUGCAAACACGAAAGUGGACGUAUACGGUGUGACGCCUGCCCGGUGCCGGAAGGUUAAUUGAUGGGGUCAGCGCAAGCGAAGCUCCUGAUCGAAGCCCCGGUAAACGGCGGCCGUAACUAUAACGGUCCUAAGGUAGCGAAAUUCCUUGUCGGGUAAGUUCCGACCUGCACGAAUGGCGUAAUGAUGGCCAGGCUGUCUCCACCCGAGACUCAGUGAAAUUGAACUCGCUGUGAAGAUGCAGUGUACCCGCGGCAAGACGGAAAGACCCCGUGAACCUUUACUAUAGCUUGACACUGAACAUUGAGCCUUGAUGUGUAGGAUAGGUGGGAGGCUUUGAAGUGUGG